rnacentral:rRNA from 1 species
ACUCCUACGGGAGGCAGCAGUGGGGAAUCUUGGACAAUGGGCGCAAGCCUGAUCCAGCCAUGCCGCGUGAGCGAUGAAGGCCUUAGGGUCGUAAAACUCUUUCGCCAGGGAUGAUAAUGACAGUACCUGGUAAAGAAACCCCGGCUAACUCCGUGCCAGCAGCCGCGGUAAUACGGAGGGGUUAGCGUUGUUCGGAAUUACUGGGGCGUAAAGCGCGCGUAGGCGGAUUAGUUAGUCAGAGGUGAAAUCCCGGGGCUCAACCCCGGAACUGCCUUUGAUACUGCUAGUCUUGAGUUCGAGAGAGGUGAGUGGAAUUCCGAGUGUAGAGGUGAAAUUCGUAGAUAUUCGGAGGAACACCAGUGGCGAAGGCGGCUCACUGGCUCGAUACUGACGCUGAGGUGCGAAAGUGUGGGGAGCAAACAGGAUUAGAUACCCUGGUAGCACAGG